rnacentral:lncRNA from 1 species
CGCUGUGUCGCCUCUGCCGAAGACGGCUCUGGCCGGUCGGACGAUGGCUCUGCACACGACGGCUCCGCCCCUUCUCACGACAGCUCCGCCCUGUCCGAUGGCUCUGCCCACGAAGGCUCCGCCCUGUCCGAUGGCUCUGCCCACGACAACAUAUCCGAUGGCACUGCCAACUCCAAAGACUCCUCUGGCCACGACGGCUCCGCUCGCUCUGACAGCGAUCGCGGCGUGUCUCCCAAUUAGAAGCAGAGUGGCAAGCAAGGUAACCGAACCACUAAGGACCCAUGAAGCAGUUGUGCAGAGGCAGGCAACAACAACACCACCCAGAAUCGAAACCAGAGCGGCUACUCCGGCGGCUGUCAGUCCCCAAACGGUUGCCGCCCCUCCUCCGGUAUCAGCAGCGCCACCAUGACCGUCGAAUAUGCUGAAUAGCUCAAAACAGGCCAGAAACCGGAAUGUACCGGGAAACCACUUGUAGAGUACAACCAUACAUCCUACAAGAAUUAGUGGCAUAGCGUAUUUGGACCAUGGGUAUUUGGACCAAGAUUCUGUGAAUGGGUACUGAGGGGAGCAGACCUUAGUGCUACACGUCCCGAAAUUGGAACCCAGAAUGUGUGGCGAAGGAGGUGCUGUGGUAGUUGGAGGCGGAGGCGGAGGCGGAGGAAGCGGUGAGGUGGUUGGGGGUGAGGCGGCGGCGGAAGCAGUGACGGUGGUGGUGAUGCGGAGGAACCAGAGAGAUGAAGGGAUUGACAGCCGCCAGAGUAGCCGCUCUGGUUUCGAUUCUGGGUGGUGUUGUUGUUGCCUGCCUCCGUACAACUGCUUCAUGGGUCCUUAGUGGUUCGGUUACCUUGCUCGCCACUCUGCUUCUAAUUGGGAGACACGCCGCGAUCGCCGUCAGAGAGGGCGGAGCCGUCGUGGCCAGAGGAGUCUUUAGAGUUGGGAGUGCCAUCGGACAUAGCGGAGCCGUCGUGGGCAGAGCCAUCGGAAAUGGCGGAGACGUCGUGGGCAGAGCCAUCGGCCAGGGCGGAGCCGUCGUGGGCAGGGGCGGAGCCGUUGUUCGUGGGCAGGGGCAUCGUCCAACCGGCCAGAGCCGUCUUCG